rnacentral:rRNA from 1 species
ACGAACGCUGGCGGCUGCUUAACACAUGCAAGUCGAACGGAGUGGCGAACGGGUGAGUAACGCGUGAGCAACCUGCCUAUGACAGUGGGAUAGCCUCGGGAAACCGGGAUUAAUACCGCAUAGUCAGAGAUGGGCUCGCGUCUGAUUAGCUAGUUGGUGAGAUAACAGCCCACCACGGCGACGAUCAGUAGCCGGUCGUAGAGGAAGAACGGACACAUUGGCACUGAGACACGGUCCAAACUCCUACGGGAGGCGGCAGUGGGGAAUAUUGCAAAAUGGGGGAAACCCUGAUGGAGCGAGGCCGGGUGAACGAAGAAGGUAUUCGUAUCGUAAAGUUCUGUCCUAUGGGAAGCAGUACCAUAGAAGAAAGCUCCGGCUAAAUACGUGCCAGCAGCCGCGGUAAUUC